UACGAAGGGGGCUAGCGUUGCUCGGAUUGACUGGGCGUAAAGGGCGCGUAGGCGGUUCGUACAGUCAGACGUGAAAUUCCUGGGCUCAACCUGGGGGCUGCGUUUGAUACGUGCGGACUUGAGUGCGGAAGAGGGCCGUGGAAUUCCCAGUGUAGAGGUGAAAUCCGUAGAUAUUGGGAAGAACACCGGUGGCGAAGGCGGCGACCUGGUCCGAUACUGACGCUGAGGCGCGAAAGCGUGGGGAGCAAACAGG
rnacentral:rRNA from 1 species